ACGCUCGACACCUACGGAGGCAGCAGUCGGGAAUAUUGCGCAAUGGAGGAAACUCUGACGCAGUGACGCCGCGUGCAGGAAGAAGGUUUUCGGAUUGUAAACUGCUUUAGACAGGGAAGAAAGAAAUGACAGUACCUGUAGAAUAAGCUCCGGCUAACUACGUGCCAACAGCCGCGGUAAUCUGAGCGGGCUGGCAAGGC
rnacentral:rRNA from 1 species